CCUACGGGAGGCAGCAGUGGGGAAUAUUGGACAAUGGGGGGAACCCUGAUCCAGCGACGCCGCGUGAGUGAAGAAGUAUUUCGGUAUGUAAAGCUCUAUCAGCAGGGAAGAAAAUGACGGUACCUGACUAAGAAGCCCCGGCUAACUACGUGCCAGCAGCCGCGGUAAUACGUAGGGGGCAAGCGUUAUCCGGAUUUACUGGGUGUAAAGGGAGCGUAGACGGCGGCACAAGUCUGAUGUGAAAUGCCGGGGCUUAACCCCGGAACUGCAUUGGAAACUAUGCAGCUGGAGUGCAGGAGAGGUAAGUGGAAUUCCUAGUGUAGCGGUGAAAUGCGUAGAUAUUAGGAGGAACACCAGUGGCGAAGGCGGCUUACUGGACUGUAACUGACGUUGAGGCUCGAAAGCGUGGGGAGCAAACAGGAUUAGAUACCCGGGUAGUC
rnacentral:rRNA from 1 species